rnacentral:tRNA from 1 species
CAAGGAAUAGUUUAAGAUAGAACUUCAGCUUUGGGAGUUGAUAGUGGGGUUAUUACUUCUUCCUUGA